GUCACAUGUGCCCUGGCCUCUGGAGCUCAGCUGCCAGUCCAUGUCUAGGGAAUCAGCAUCUGGGACCAAGACACUUUACAGCAAUCAUCACCCUUUGCAGAGGAGGUGAGAUCACCAGGACUCAUCUGCCAUUUCAGACCUUUUGCUGCUAUCUGCCAGGUGGCCCCCACUGCUGACGAGAGAUGGUGGAUCUCCCAGUCUCCCUGGACUCCUUGAAGCCAGUAUCUCUGACCAGCAGUCUUGUCUUCCUCAUGCACCUUCUCCUCCUUCAGCCUGGGGAGCUGAGCUCAGAAAUUAUCACCAUCAGCAAUUUGGUGUCUCCUUUCAGAGGUCAAGGUGCUAGGCCCUGAGUAUACCAUCCUGGCCCUCGUCGGGGAGGAGGUGGAGUUCCCAUGCCACCUAUGGCCACACCUGGAUGCCCAGCAAAUGGAGAUCCGCUGGUUCCGGAGCCACACCUCAGAUGUGGUGCACCUGUACCAGGAGCAGCAGGAACUCCCUGACAGGCA
rnacentral:sRNA from 1 species